rfam:Quang Binh virus isolate JM17156/China/2017, complete genome
GCCCGCGCAAGGAAGGACACGUGAAUGACGUUUCCUUGGGAGUUGACGACUCUCCGCCCCCA